AGAGUUUGAUCCUGGCUCAGGAUGAACGUUGGCGGCGUGCCUAACACAUGCAAGUCGAACGGGAAGCCACCUUCGGGUGGCGGAGAGUGGCGCACGGGUGAGUAACACGUAGCUGACCUGCCCUGGAGAGGGGAAUAACCGGUGGAAACAGCGGCUAAAACCUCAUGAACCCGCCCUGAAUAAGUAGGGGCGAGCAAAUACUACGGUGCUCUGGGAUGGGGCUGCGGGCCAUCAGCUAGUUGGUGCGGUAACGGCGCACCAAGGCGACGACGGCUAGGGGGCCUGAGAGGGUGACCCCCCACACUGGGACUGAGACACGGCCCAGACUCCUAUGGGAGGCAGCAGUCAGGAAUAUUGCGCAAUGGACGAAAGUCUGACGCAGCGACGCCGCGUGGGUGAUGAAGGCCUUCGGGUUGUAAAGCCCUUUUCUGCGUGACGAGGAAGGACGGUAGCGCAGGAAUAAGUCUCGGCUAACUACGUGCCAGCAGCCGCGGUAAAACGUAGGAGGCGAACGUUAUCCGGAAUUACUGGGCGUAAAGGGCGCGCAGGUGGCAGAUUAAGUCGGUCGUGAAAGCUCCCGGCUAAACUGGGAGAGGUCGGACGAUACUGAUCUGCUCGAGGGCGACAGAGGAGCGUAGAAUUCAGCGUGUAGUGGUGAAAUGCGUAGAGAUGCUGAGGAAUACCAGAGGCGAAGGCGGCGCUCUGGGUCGCACCUGACACUGAGGCGCGAAAGCACGGGGAGCGAACGGGAUUAGAAACCCCGGUAGUCCGUGCCGUAAACGAUGCCUACUGGAUGUUCGGCCCUCUGUGGAGGGCUGGGUAUCGUAGCUAACGCGUUAAGUAGGCCGCCUGGGGACUACGGCCGCAAGGCUAAAACUCAAAGGAAUUGACGGGGACCCGCACAAGCAGCGGAGCGUGUGGUUUAAUUCGAGGCUACGCGAAGAACCUUACCUGGGUUUGACAUCACGGUAGUAGGGAAGCGAAAGCUCGCCCGACCUUCGGGAGCCGUGACAGGUGUUGCAUGGCUGUCGUCAGCUCGUGCCGUGAGGUGUUCGGUUAAGUCCGCGAACGAGCGCAACCCCCGGUGUCAGUUAUACGUGUCUGGCACGACUGCCUGCGGCAAGCAGGAGGAAGGUGGGGAUGAUGUCAAGUCAGCAUGACCUUUAUAUCCAGGGCUACACACACGCUACAAUGGGCGGUACAAUGGGCAGCGAAACCGCGAGGUCCAGCCAAUCCCCAAAGCCGCUCGUAGUUCGGAUUGCAGGCUGCAACUCGCCUGCAUGAAGUCGGAGUUGCUAGUAACCGCAGGUCAGCCACACUGCGGUGAAUACGUUCUCGGGUCUUGUACACACCGCCCGUCAAGUCAUGGAAGCGGGUCACGCCCAAAGUCGGGAGGCUAACCGCAAGGAGGCUACCGCCUAAGGCAGGACCGGUGACUGGGACUAAGUCGUAACAAGGUAGCCGUA
rnacentral:rRNA from 1 species